rnacentral:rRNA from 1 species
AAUAUUGCGCAAUGGGGGAAACCCUGACGCAGCAACUCCGCGUGGAGGAUGAAGGUUUUCGGAUUGUAAACUCCUUAACUGGGGGAAGAGGAAGGUCGGUACCCCAGGACGAAGACACGGCUAACUAGGUGCCAGCAGCCGCGGUAAUACCUAGGUGUCAAGCGUUAUCCGGAAUUACUGGGCGUAAAGGGUGCGCAGGCGGGGAUACAAGUCUGGCGUGAAAGCUCCUGGCUUAACUGGGAGAGGACGGCGGAAACUGUAUGGCUAGAGUGAAUGAGAGGGGGGCGGAAAUCCCGGUGUAGUGGAAGAAUGCGUUGAUAUCGGGAACAACACCAGAGGAGAAGGCGGCCUCCUGGCAUAUUGCUGACGCGGAGGCACGAAAGCGUGGGUAGCGCACACGAUUUGAUACCCCGGUAGUCCACGCCUA